CUAACUGGAUGGCGAGCGGGCGCGGGAAGUGGGAGGGGGCAGUCGGUGUCGGGAAUAAGGGGGCGUAAAGGGCGGGCAGGCGGGUUGUGACGUCCGGGGUGAAAACCCAGAGUGCAACUCUGGGACUGCCUUGGAUACGGGGAAACUGGAGGGUCGGAGAGGCAAGGGGAAUUCCACGUGUAGCGGUGAAAUGCGUAGAGAUGUGGAGGAACACCUGUGGCGAAGGCGCCUUGCUGGCCGAUUUCUGACGCUGAGGCGCGAAAGCGUGGGGAGCAAACAGGAUUAGAUACCCUGGUAGUC
rnacentral:rRNA from 1 species